ACUUCAAAAGCACUAUCUAGGUCAGCACAAUGGUGUAGCUCGCUUCUGUCCUCCUCUGGAUCCAUUGACUUCAAUACAAAACCUAGGAGGCUCAUAGACCUCACCCCUUUCCAUAGACCUACAUGAUAAUUAUGACCACUUCUGGAAGAAGUCCUCCAAAAAAUCAAAGCUUUUUCAAUGAACUGACAUGUUGUCCAUCCAAUCAUACGAUUAGGAUCAGAGAAGGAACCUACUGCGUUGUAUUGAGGUUGUGCUGCAGAGCAUUAUUGGGGGGGUUCUAUGUGUUGAGAAGCGUUGGUGACAUUGGAUAGAGAUUGAAAAUAUAUAUUUGAGCAUUUUUUAAAUUAUUCAAUUCAAAUUAGUUUCUUCAAAUUGCAGGAGAUGGAGGAGGUUAAUUAUACAUUGUUUUAUAACUUUAUUUUUGUGUCCAGUUAGUGCAGUUUAUUUCAAUUUUCCCUGCUAACAAGCUAGCUACCAGUUCGAGUGUGCACCUUUCGCCGCUAACGCUACCUCAAAAAGUGCGAAUUAAAACCGAGGUCGACUGCCUGAGAUCAGUUUCAUGAAGAAAGAUGAAAAGGUGAUGGCGUUCAAUACCAAUUGCUAUCAAAAGUAUAGCUGGUUAACAGGGAACCUUUAAUCAAUCCGUCUGUAUUUUUGCUUUUUGGAAAGUCUGAGCCUUGGGCGAAAGAGGGGUACAGUGCCCAGAAGAACAUUUGAUCAUUCAGCUAAACGACAAAACAAAAGCAGGGAGCGUAACGUUAUAAGAUUCAAGCUUCUGGGAAAAAGCCGCAUCUAUCAUGACGACGGUCUGCGUAUUCAAAAUGCGCAACACAAUGAGAAAUCCCCUCCUGUUCCCUGAUUUAAGAAGUGACCACUCCUCUCCACUACGAUUGUCAACUCUCUCCUGGCAUGAACUGAAGCCACGUCUCAUGUUCCCGCUCAUCCACUGUUACAUUUAAUGUUUCCUCUCCAAGCACUUCAAAUCCUGUCCUGCACUAAAGUCAAGCCAUUGAAGACCUCAAUUCAUGCCUCAUACCCUCAUUCAAUCACUGCUGUGAUCCCUUCCCAAAACGGUGUAUGUAGCCCUCUCAUUCCCCAUAAUAUUGUACUAUAAAUGUCUUUAUUAAAUGCUUUAGUUUAAAACAAUUACUCUGACGAUUUUUGAAACACGCUUUGACAUCUCCGUGUGUCUAUACUGUGGGCCUCCUCAGUUUUUCAAGUCACCAGCCUCCACUGAUCACAGAGCUAGCUGUGCCACUAGAGAUCCUGGUUCGAGUCCAGGCUCAUUCGCAGCCGGCUACGACCGGGAGACACAUGGGGCGGCGCAUAUUUGGCCCAGCGUUGUCCGGGUUAGGGGAGGGUUUGGCCGGCAGGGAUGUUCUUGUCCCAUCGCGCUCGAAAUUGGGGAGAAAAAUAAAUAACAAAAUACAAUUGUUUCCAGAGGGGUGGGGUUGAUUCUCCUCCAGAAAUCAAACUGAGAAAGGCAUCUAGAAUUAGCAUGUCAACAAGACUACAUUUUGUUGGAUCCAGGUAGGACUGUAUCAUAGCCACAGCGACAUUCCUGCAUAAAUGCCUGCAGGAGGAUGGAUGGGACUCCUCAUACAACAGCAACAUCAACCUGUGGAAACCUAUCUUACACAUGCCAGGAGGGAGUGAAAACCUCCAGUGCAAACAGCAACUCCAUUUGUUCUACAUAAAAGCAUUUACUGUAGGCUAUGCAUGCAGAGUAGGGUUGAUUAUUUUCCCCGGUAUUUUACAAAUGUUCCAUCCCGAGAAUAAAUCACUUUUUACUCAGGGAACCUGGUGUCAUUCAAAAGCAUAUAAUUAGGCCUAUGUCUGGAUUUGAUUAGAGCUUUGAUCUAAAAUUCAAGCCUGAUGCUACCUGAGCCUGAUGAGCCAUACAUUAAAUACAUUUUAUGACCCCUACAUUAAAGACAUUUAAUGAGCCGAAGCCCAAAUUAUUGUGCCAUUAUUCAAUACAUACAGUGCAUUCGGAAAGUAUUCAGACCCUUUGACUUUUAACACAUUUUGUUACGUUACAGCCUUAUUCUAAAAUUGAUUUUUAUUCCCUCAUCAAGCUACACACAAAACCCCAUAAUGACAAAGCGAAAACUGGUUUUUAGAAAUGUUUUCUGAUAUGACAGUGUUGGUAUUUCUGCUGUAAAAUCACAUAUAUUGUAAUGUCCUUAAGUCUAUUGACCAACUGGUCAAUCUAAGUAACAUAAUAAAAAAGUCCCCAUCAAAAUCCGUCAAUUUAAUCCAGUUUAAUAUUUUAGCAUAUUUGCCUACGGGGAAGGAUGGCCAGCCACACAGGAGGGUGAUUUUUACUAAGGGGGAAAAGGAGGCUGUGCUGACCGAGAUGCAUGUUGGCCAUUUCGGAGUGAAGCGCAUGAUUGACAAAAUCAACCUACGCUUCUUCUGACGGGGAAUUGUCAAGGAUGUGGACAGCUGGGCAAGUGAAAUAACCUUUUGUUUAUCAAUCACAUUCUAUUAUAUCGGAAAUGAUUAUGAUUUCAAUGAAUGUCAUAUCAGAGAGCACACAAUGUUUAAAUGUGUUACUUUUAGCUUAAAAAAGGUCGGUACCCUGUCUAGCCUGACAGAAGUUUGAAAAGGCAAAGACUGUGGCGCCGGAGUUGAAGCCCAUCGAAGUAGUUUCACCAUGGCACAUGAUCGGUAAGUGUCCCAAUUCAAAUUUUGCAGAGUUCAGUCAAAUCAAAGUUUAUUUGUCACGCGCGCCGAAAACAACAGGAUACCGAAUACCUUACAGUGAAAUGCUUACUUACAGGCUCUAACCAAUAGUGCAAUAAAAAAAAAAAGUGUUAGGUAAGUAAAGAAAUAAAAAGACAGUGAGAAAUAACAGUAGUGAGGCUAUAUACAGGCACCGGUUAGUCGGGCUGAUUGAGGUAGUAUGUACAUGUAGAUAUGGUUAAAGUGACUAUGCAUAUAUGAUAACCAGAGUGUAGCAGUAGCGUAAAAGGGGGUGGUGAGUGGUGGGACACAAUGAAGAUAGUCCGGUUAGUCAAUGUGCGGGACACUGGUUGGUCGGGCUAAUUGAGGUAGUAUGUACAUGAAUGUAUAGUUAAAGUGACUAUGCAUAUCCACCUCUAUGCAGACGACACCAUUCUGUAUACU